rnacentral:rRNA from 1 species
GAUGAACGCUGGUGGCGUGCCUAAUACAUGCCAGUCGAGCGAACAGACGAGGAGCUUGCUCCUCUGACGUUAGCGGCGGACGGGUGAGUAACACGUGGAUAACCUACCUAUAAGACUGGGAUAACUUCGGGAAACCGGAGCUAAUACCGGAUAAUAUAUUGAACCGCAUGGUUCAAUAGUGAAGGACGGUUUUGCUGUCACUUAUAGAUGGAUCCGCGCCGCAUUAGCUAGUUGGUAAGGUAACGGCUUACCAAGGCAACGAUGCGUAGCCGACCUGAGAGGGUGAUCGGCCACACUGGAACUGAGACGCGGUCCAGACUCCUACGGGAGGCAGCAGUAGGGAAUCUUCCGCAAUGGGCGAAAGCCUGACGGAGCAACGCCGCGUGAGUGAUGAAGGUCUUCGGAUCGUAAAACUCUGUUAUUAGGGAAGAACAAAUGUGUAAGUAACUAUGCACGUCUUGACGGUACCUAAUCAGAAAGCCACGGCUAACUACGUG